ACCACGGCCUUGAAGAGGAAGAGUAAGAGAGGGCGCUGACGUCCAGAGAGCCGGCCCGCAAGCUGAGAGGGCGGCCGUCAUCUCUCUUUGAAGCCGCCUUGGAGCUCCUGCUUUUGAAACCGCGAGUAGAAAGCAGCGGAUCAGCCCCCGUUAUCGGGUGAAAGUCCGUACAGGACUUUCCGAGUCUGCUUUUCGCGAGGAGAGCAGAAAAGCUGAGUGGUACCGCGAUUCCGUCGCCUCAGCA
rnacentral:ncRNA from 1 species